rnacentral:rRNA from 1 species
GACGAACGCUGGCGGCGUGCUUAACACAUGCAAGUCGAACGGAAAGGCCCCUUUGGGGGUACUCGAGUGGCGCACGGGUGAGUAACACGUGAGUAACCUGCCCUUGACUUCGGGAUAACUUCAGGAAACUGGGGCUAAUACCGGAUAGGAAUCCUUGCUGCAUGGUGGGGGUUGGAAAGCUUCGGCGGUUUUGGAUGGACUCGCGGCUUAUCAGCUUGUUGGUGGGGUAGUGGCUUACCAAGGCGUUGACGGGUAGCCGGCCUGAGAGGGCGACCGGCCACAUUGGGACUGAGAUACGGCCCAGACUCCUACGGGAGGCAGCAGUGGGGAAUAUUGCACAAUGGGCGGAAGCCGGAUGCAGCAACGCCGCGUGCGGGAUGACGGCCUUCGGGUUGUAAACCGCUUUCAGCAGGGGCGAAGCUUGUGGUGACGGUACCUGCAGAAGAAGCACCGGCUAACUACGUG